CCUACGGGGGGCAGCAGUGAGGAAUAUUGGUCAAUGGGCGUAAGCCUGAACCAGCCAAGUCGCGUGAGGGAUGAAGGUUCUAUGGAUCGUAAACCUCUUUUAUAAGGGAAUAAAGUGCGGGACGUGUCCCGUUUUGUAUGUACCUUAUGAAUAAGGAUGGGCUAACUCCGUGCCAGCAGCCGCGGUAAUACGGAGGAUCCGAGCGUGAUCCGGAUUUAGUGGGUUUAAAGGGUGCGUAGGCGGCCUUUGAAGUCAGGGGUGAAAGCCUGGGGCGCAACCACAGAAUUGCCGUUGAAACUGGGUGGCUGGAGUGCGUUUGAGGCAGGCGGAAGGUGUGGUGUAGCGGUGAAAUGCUUAGAUAUCACGCAGAACACCGAUUGCGAAGGCAGCCUGCCAGGCCAUGACUGACGCUGAUGCACGAAAGCGUGGGGAUCAAACAGGAUUAGAUACCCUUGUAGUC
rnacentral:rRNA from 1 species